UGCUGCCAUGGAAUUCAGGACAUCAUCUGAGCUCCUGAGAGUAGUGAAGUGGGGAUGCGAAGCAUCCGAGGCCGCAUCCGAAAUCUGGGCCUAUAAACACAAUUUCGGGUCUAUUUUCCUCUUUUCUUUUGGACGAGUUUUAGGGGUUUCCUCCCCUCUCUCAAGACCUCCAACUCCUACCAUCUUCAAACUAAGAAAUCCCCAUUAUCUUGGUGUAAAACUCCCUAAUUUCUACACUAGUAUUGAUGAAAUCUACACAUAAAUUACUUAGAUCUUCAAGAGAUUUCUUCAAAAACGCAAAGGAGAGUUUUGCAAGACUUGUUCCAAAAAGGUAAUCUUACACCCUUAGACUUACAUGUAUGGAUUUAUUAAAGGAAUAUGAGUUUGAAUAAAUAAUAUAACUCUUGGUAUGUUGAUUGGAAGUCAUAAAUCCUCAAUUUAAUUAUAUAACUAAUACAGAGAUAGAAUUGAUAAUUAUUUAAUGGAACUUUGUUGGUUAAUUAUUUAAUGAAACUUUGUUGGUUGGCUGUGGAUGGAAGGUCACAAAUGUGAUGUUGGAAAAUAUAAAUUGGUUAAUAAUAAUGGUGGGAUAAAUUAUUGAUGAAUGGUGGUAGCUAGAUGAACUAAAUAUAUGGCGAAGAGAUGUAGAUAAUUAUGCCUACAAGGUGUUUGAUAAUAUGCCUAAAUGACUUAAGUUAUGUAAUUUGUUACUAAUAUUGGUUCCAUUUGAUAUUGCUAUUAUAGAUUGAAGGUUGUUAGUAUUGUGAAUCAUUAUAGUAUCACUAAGGGGCGAAAUUGAGG
rnacentral:lncRNA from 1 species